GAUGAACGCUGGCGGCGUGCCUAAUACAUGCAAGUCGAGCGAACAGACGAGGAGCUUGCUCCUCUGACGUUAGCGGCGGACGGGUGAGUAACACGUGGAUAACCUACCUAUAAGACUGGGAUAACUUCGGGAAACCGGAGCUAAUACCGGAGAAUAUAUUGAACCGCAUGGUGCAAUAGUGAAAGACGGUUUUGCUGUCACUUAUAGAUGGAUCCGCGCCGCAUUAGCUAGUUGUUAAGGUAACGGCUUACCAAGGCAACGAUGCGUAGCCGACCUGAGAGGGUGAUCGGCCACACUAGAACUGAGACACGGACCAGACUCCUACGGGAGGCAGCAGUAGGGAAUCUUCCGCAAUGGGCGAAAGCCUGACGGAGCAACGCCGCGUGAGUGAUGAAGGUCUUCGGAUCGUAAAACUCUGUUAUUAGGGAAGAACAACUGUGUACGUAACUAUGCACGUCGUGACGGUACCGAAUCAGAAAGCCACGGCUAACUACGUG
rnacentral:rRNA from 1 species